GAAAAUUUUAUUAAGGUUUCUUUUAAUUUAAUUUUAAUUUAUAAACAAUUUAUCUCUCUUAAGAAUUAAUUAUCUUUAUUCAAUAAUUUAUUUAAAAUAGUUAAAAAUUUAUUAUAGGUUAAUUAAUGUGCCAGCUACCGCGGUUAAACAUUUUAUAAAAAUUAAAUUUUAUCCCUCUAAAUUUUUCUUAAUAUAGUAAAAUAAUCAAUUUUUUUUUUAAAAAGAAAAAUCUUUGAAAAUUUUUUUAAAAAUCGAUUAGUACCAAUUUAUAAAAAAUUGAAAAAAGAAUAGAAAAGAAAUCAAUUAAUUAGGCGGUUGGCCCAAAAUAGGGAAGCUUGUAUAUUAAAAUGAUAGUCCUCAAUAAUUUUAGUACUAAUAUCUAUUUGUAGUGUAUGUCCGUAACUCUUUAUUAUUUAGAUAAUAAAGAAAAUAUUAUUUAUUAAUAAUUAAUUUCAGGUCUUUAUGCUCUUAGUAUUAGGUUAUAUUAGCUUUAAUUUAAAAUAGUUUAAAAUAGAAUUUUUUUUAAGAAAACUUAUAAGUAAAAAUAAUAAUAUUGUUUUGAAUUUUUAAGGUUGAAGCACUCACUGCCCGCUAUAUAGUUUUAUUAUAAAGGCGUAACAAGGUAGUUGUUCCAGAAGGAACAACUGGUACUUUUCAAUA